AGUCCAUAAAAAGAGAUCUUGGUUUUUACUAAAAUUAAACACCUUUACUCUGAGGAAAACCCCUGUUAAGAGGGUGAAAAACCAAGUUACCGACAGGGAAAAUAUUUAUGAAUAUCGAGCAUCAUGUCUGACAAAGGACUAGUAACUAGACUAUAAAAAAGAGCUCUCAAAGCACAACAGUCACCUGGACACAGGGAGAGAAACGGAGUGGUCCUUCAUGUGCGUACUUUCCUGAAUUGUGGAUGCGCGCCCGAGACCCAGCUCCGACAAGC
rnacentral:sRNA from 1 species